GACGAACGCUGGCGGCGUGCUUAACACAUGCAAGUCGAACGAAGAGCGACGGAAGCUUGCUUCUAUCAAUCUUAGUGGCGAACGGGUGAGUAACGCGUAAUCAACCUGCCCUUCAGAGGGGGACAACAGUUGGAAACGACUGCUAAUACCGCAUACGAUCUAAUCUCGGCAUCGAGGAUGGAUGAAAGGUGGCCUCUACAUGUAAGCUAUCACUGAAGGAGGGGAUUGCGUCUGAUUAGCUAGUUGGAGGGGUAACGGCCCACCAAGGCGAUGAUCAGUAGCCGGUCUGAGAGGAUGAACGGCCACAUUGGGACUGAGACACGGCCCAGACUCCUACGGGAGGCAGCAGUGGGGAAUCUUCCGCAAUGGACGAAAGUCUGACGGAGCAACGCCGCGUGAGUGAUGACGGCCGUCGGGUUGUAAAGCUCUGUUAAUCGGGACGAAAGGCCUUCUUGCGAAUAGUGAGAAGGAUUGACGGUACCGGAAGAGAAAGCCACGGCUAACUACGUG
rnacentral:rRNA from 1 species